rnacentral:rRNA from 1 species
GCGGAAGGAUCAUUAGGGAAUUAUAAAAUCGGCUUGCCCCUCUCGAGGGUGCUCGCCGUAAUUUCUAUCCACAAAACACCGUGAACCCUCGAAAGAGGCGUAAUUUUUUUCUACAAAAACACAAAGUCCAUGAAAGUAACAAACAUACAAAACAAAAUAAAACUUUUGACAACGGAUCUCUUGGUUCUCCCAUCGAUGAAGAACGCAGCGAAACGCGAUAGGUAUUGUGAAUUGCAGAAUCAGGGAAUCAUCGAAUUUUUGAACGCACCUUGCGCUCCCUGGUAUUCCUAGGAGCAUGCCUGUUUGAGUGUUGAUAGCCUCUCCAAACCUUGGUUUUUUUUUAUUAAAUCGAGUGCUUUGGGUCCCUGGGCCUGUAGCGGCGACGUUACUUGCCUUAAAAGGAUCAAAGAAGACCCAAUCGGAUGUUAAGCAUGAUAUCCGUUGGGGUUUUUGAACAAAAUCAAAACUAUACAUACAACCUCAAAUCAGGUAGGACUACCCGCUGAACUUAAGCAUAUC